CAAGAGGGGUAUCAAGGCACCCAUCACAUUGUCACCUGCAGACGGCGGCGGACUGCACUCAAGUGAAGAUUCCUCUGCUUUAGUUGCCGUACACUUAACCUGGGAGUUGUUUUGCUCUGUGUCAACUUCU